UACGGAGGGGGCUAGCGUUGUUCGGAAUUACUGGGCGUAAAGCGCGCGUAGGCGGCUUAGCAAGUUAGAGGUGAAAGCCCGAAGCUCAACUUCGGAAUUGCCUUUAAAACUGCAAAGCUAGAAUCAUGGAGAGGUGAGUGGAAUUCCGAGUGUAGAGGUGAAAUUCGUAGAUAUUCGGAAGAACACCAGUGGCGAAGGCGACUCACUGGACAUGUAUUGACGCUGAGGUGCGAAAGCGUGGGGAGCAAACAGG
rnacentral:rRNA from 1 species